ACUGCUCAGUAACACGUGGAUAACCUGCCCUUGGGUCCGGCAUAACCCCGGGAAACUGGGGAUAAUUCCGGAUAACGCACAUAUGCUGGAAUGCUUUAUGCGUAAAAUGGAUUCGUCUGCCCAAGGAUGGGUCUGCGGCCUAUCAGGUAGUAGUGGGUGUAAUGUACCUACUAGCCUACAACGGGUACGGGUUGUGAGAGCAAGAGCCCGGAGAUGGAUUCUGAGACAUGAAUCCAGGCCCUACGGGGCGCAGCAGGCGCGAAAACUUUACAAUGCGGGAAACCGUGAUAAGGGGACACCGAGUGCUAGCAUCAUAUGCUGGCUGUCCAGGUGUGUAAAAUACACCUGUUAGCAAGGGCCGGGCAAGACCGGUGCCAGCCGCCGCGGUAACACCGGCGGCCCGAGUGGUGAUCGUGAUUAUUGGGUCUAAAGGGUCCGUAGCCGGUUUGGUCAGUCCUCCGGGAAAUCUGACAGCUCAACUGUUAGGCUUUCGGGGGAUACUGCCAGACUUGGAACCGGGAGAGGUAAGAGGUACUACAGGGGUAGGAGUGAAAUCUUGUAAUCCCUGUGGGACCACCUGUGGCGAAGGCGUCUUACCAGAACGGGUUCGACGGUGAGGGACGAAAGCUGGGGGCACGAACCGGAUUAGAUACCCGGGUAGUCCCAGCCGUAAACGAUGCUCGCUAGGUGUCAGGCAUGGCGCGACCGUGUCUGGUGCCGCAGGGAAGCCGUGAAGCGAGCCACCUGGGAAGUACGGCCGCAAGGCUGAAACUUAAAGGAAUUGGCGGGGGAGCACAACAACGGGUGGAGCCUGCGGUUUAAUUGGACUCAACGCCGGACAACUCACCGGGGACGACAGCAAUAUGUAGGCCAGGCUGAGGACCUUGCCUGAAUCGCUGAGAGGAGGUGCAUGGCCGUCGCCAGUUCGUACUGUGAAGCAUCCUGUUAAGUCAGGCAACGAGCGAGACCCGUGCC
rnacentral:rRNA from 1 species